rnacentral:snRNA from 1 species
AAAACUGGAAUGCUACAGAGAAGAUUAGCACAGCCCCUGUGCAAGGAUGACACGCAAGUUUGUGAAGCAUUCACAUUACAA